rnacentral:rRNA from 1 species
AUUGAACGCUGGCGGCAGGCCUAACACAUGCAAGUCGAACGAGUGGCGGACGGGUGAGUAAUGUCUGGGAAACUGCCCGAUGGAGGGGGAUAACUACUGGAAACGGUAGCUAAUACCGCAUACCAUCGGAUGUGCCCAGAUGGGAUUAGCUAGUAGGUGGGGUAACGGCGCACCUAGGCGACGAUCCCUAGCUGGUCGGAGCGGAUGACCAUGCCCACUGGAACUGAGACACGGUCCAGACUCCUACGGGAGGCAGCAGUGGGGAAUAUUGCACAAUGGGCGCAGGCCUGAUGCAGCCUUGCCGCGUGUAUGAAGAAGGCCUUCGGGUUGUAAAGUACUUUCAGCGGGGAGGCGUUACCCGCAGAAGAAGCACCGGCUAACACCGUGCCAGCCGCCGCGGUAAUAC